GACGAACGCUGGCGGCGUGCCUAACACAUGCAAGUCGAACGGGGGGAACAUGAAGUAUUUCGGUACGGAAUGCGCCCCUAGUGGCGAACGGGUGAGUAACACGUGGGCAACCUGCCCCAGACUGGGGGAUAACAUUGUGAAAACAGUGCUAAUACCGCAUGACAGGGUUCCGGGCAUCCGGGACCCUUGAAAGGAGAAAUCCGGUCAGGGAUGGGCCCGCGUCCAAUUAGCUAGUUGGCGGGGUAACGGCCCACCAAGGCGACGAUUGGUAGCCGAACUGAGAGGUUGAUCGGCCACAUUGGGACUGAGACACGGCCCAGACUCCUACGGGAGGCAGCAGUGGGGAAUAUUGGGCAAUGGGCGAAAGCCUGACCCAGCGACGCCGCGUGAAGGAUGAAGGUCUUCGGAUUGUAAACUUCUUUGAUCAGGGAAGAAAGAAAUGACGGUACCUGAAAACAAGCCAACGGCUAACUACGUG
rnacentral:rRNA from 1 species